rnacentral:rRNA from 1 species
AUUGAACGCUGGCGGCAGGCUUAACACAUGCAAGUCGAGCGGAGAUGAGGUGCUUGCACCUUAUCUUAGCGGCGGACGGGUGAGUAAUGCUUAGGAAUCUGCCUAUUAGUGGGGGACAACAUUCCGAAAGGAAUGCUAAUACCGCAUACGUCCUACGGGAGAAAGCAGGGGAUCUUCGGACCUUGCGCUAAUAGAUGAGCCUAAGUCGGAUUAGCUAGUUGGUGGGGUAAAGGCCUACCAAGGCGACGAUCUGUAGCGGGUCUGAGAGGCUGAUCCGCCACACUGGAGCUGAGACACGGCCCAGACUCCUACGGGAGGCAGCAGUGGGGAAUAUUGGACAAUGGGGGGAACCCUGAUCCAGCCAUGCCGCGUGUGUGAAGAAGGCCUUAUGGUUGUAAAGCACUUUAAGCGAGGAGGAGGCUACUGAGACUAAUACUCUUGGAUAGUGGACGUUACUCGCAGAAUAAGCACCGGCUAACUCUGUGCCAGCAGCCGCCGCCGUAA